AUCGAGACUAGAGUCACAUCCUGACAUGGCACUUGUCCUGGUGUGCUAGAGUUCUCGUAGAAAAUCUGCUGGUCUUGAUUCACUGGUAGGGGCUUUCAGUGACCCCAUUAGUGCUCAGAUCAGAAACAUAA
ensembl:snoRNA LOC120100352 small nucleolar RNA SNORA3/SNORA45 family